UUGUUAGUUGGUUCAAUCGAACCAACUAAACCGAUAUAACCCCAACCCUAACCCUUACCCAACCCUAACCUGCUGCCGCUGCCGAUCCCGAUCCCGAUCCCGAUCGCGAUCUCGCUGCUCGUCGCUCCUGCUCCCGCUGCCGCUGCUCGCCGCUGUCGCUGCUCGCGCCUCCCGCGAGCCUUCCCGCUGCUCGCGCCUCCCGCUGCUCGUGCCUCCCGCGAGCCCUCCCGCUGCUCGCGCCUCCCGCGAGCCCUCCCGCGAGCCUUCCCGUUGCUCGCGCCUCCCUCGAGCCCUCCCGUUGCUUGCGCCUCCCGCGAGCCCUCCCGCUGCUCGUGCCUUCCGCUCCCUUUCC
rnacentral:lncRNA from 1 species